rfam:Camelus ferus unplaced genomic scaffold scaffold1679, whole genome shotgun sequence.
GAGGGUAUAGCUCAGUGGCAAAGCGCAUGCUUAGCAUGCACGAGGUCCUGGUUCCAUCCCCGGUACCUCUG